GGUGGAGGGGAGGAGGCGAGGAGGCAGGCGGAGGGGAGGCGGCCUUUUUGGGUAUUUCGAUAGGACAUUUCGGUUACCCGAGCUCUGUACCCGAAGACCGGAUCGAAUUUAUCGGUCUUUCACCUCCUCCACCGGAGACCGGGACCGAAUUUCUUGAUCUCGGUCUAUUCGGUCUCGGUCUAUUUGGUUCGAUGUCUCGGUCUCAAUCUUUCUAGGUCUUUUUAUGUCCAGGCCUACCCGCAGCCUAGCCCGGCCACCUCUCCCGAACCCUCCUCCUACCGUGCGCCAGCCAGCGGGGCGGCGCGGCCGUGCGGCUAGCCGGCGCGGCCGUGCGGCCAGCCGGCGCCCACGCCCACGGGUGAGCCCCCAAGCCGCCUCGCCUUCAAAUUUGCCGGCUUGUCGGGGAGGGGGCGGCGGCGAUGCACCCGAGGCUCUCGCGGUUCGCGCACAGGGUGCUCUGCUGCGGCAGGAAGGCCUCUGGGGAGGAUUUGAGUGAUGAGGGGAGCGGAUCGCUUAGGUGGGUGUUUACAUUGAGGGAGCUUCGGUCAGCAACGGAUAGCUUCAAUUAUGACAACAAGAUUGGAGAAGGACAUUGAUCUUUGAUUGCAUUAUCAUUAGACUGCUGUGAAGAAGUUGAAGUGUGCAAAAAAUGGGACAGAAACAGGAUUUGCUUCAGAUGUUGAGAUUUUGGGAAGAGUUUGGCAGAAAAACCUCUUGAGCUUCUGUGGAUAUUGUGCUGAUGGACCUGAACGCAAGGUGUCAUGAAGAAGUGUACACCAAGGAGGGCUUCAUUUGAAGUGGCCAACCCAUCCGGUCUGGCUUCUAAUACCAGAAGCAAAAAGAAACUUCAGCUUGAAUAAAUUAUGUGGAGGGACUACUACUUUUACUGUAAUUUAAGAUAUGUAUGGUUUGGUGUGAUGAAAACUAGUGAACAACUACUUUUAUUUUAUGUGUUGAUUUAGUGUGGGUGAACUACUACUUUAAAUGUUGAUGAUCUUUUUAUUAUGUGUGAACUUAGUGUGCUGAUGAACUACUUUAAAUGUUGCUCAUAUGAACUUGUUGCUAUGGAUGCAAUGGUCAUCCCCUUGUUUUUUC